rnacentral:sRNA from 1 species
ACGUCUUCCGUUCUCU